AAGUCGUAACAAGGUUUUCGUAGGUGAACCUGCGGAAGGAUCAUUAGUGAAUUUUAACAAUUUAAAAAUUCCAGACUUUGUAAAAAAAGAACGGAAUUUUUUUAUUAACACUUUUCACAAACACUUUGUGCACUUGUUUAAUCAUUUUCUGGUCAAACAGAAAAUUUUUAUAUAACACUUGUGUCAAAUUUUAUAAAGUCCAAGUUGAUUAAAUUUGUUAAAAACGAAAGUAAAACUUUCAGCAAUGGAUCUCUUGGCUCUC
rnacentral:misc_RNA from 1 species